GCCCAGAGAAUUCUCCUGGGUUCUGAGGAGAAUAGACUAACUUUGAGCCUUCCCAUGUCCAGAACCCCAGAGCCUAACCUCGGGGGGUUACUUUAGGAGGUCAAAAGGUUGAGAUUCAAGGUGAAAUUGUUCCGCAUGGUAAUUGUGAAGUGUGACGUCAGUUGUGACACGCGAGACGAUUUCAGUUGUCUGGUAAUUGAUUCUUUGGUGAGGCUGGAACCCAGGAAGCUGUUGCUGCCUACCUAAAAUCAGCAUAGACGACACUUACUGGCCCUUUGCAGCAAGAAGUAUCUAAUAGAUCUAUAUUAACUGGAGGAAAUUGCAGCUGGCUUUUGUUGUUGGUGGUGGUUGUUUGUUUUGUGGGCGGUCCUCUUAGCAGAAAUGCCCGGAACCUGGUUUGAUACUGAUGGGAAUGUUCUAGCGCCAGGUUGAAAGGACGGGGAAUGGAGAGGCUGUGGCUACGAAAUCAGCAGGAAGAGUGUGGCCCAGAAAGCUAUGUUGCCAAGCAAUGCUUCCUCUAGAGAUGGAAGGACCCAUUAUGGACCUGUGGUGAUUGAUUGGGGGUUGCAAACCAGUUAGGAUAACCAAGAAAUGGGUCGGGGAGCAGCUCCAUUGGCCGGUGGCUACAGGAGUGUUCGCAGAGCUGGGAGAGUUCCCAGAGAAUGGCUUCCCAAAAACAACUCCUCCUUCCACCUUCUAGUUGUUCGGGACUCCCUCGCCUCAGAACAGGUGUUUGGGGAAUUAGUCACUGACGCCUGAAGUAGAAGUUGUUCUGGUUUGGAAAGAAUUGGAGUGACUGUCUGAUGGAACCUGAAAAACCCAUCUGCUAAAGCUCCUUGGGUAGCACAGACCGAGGAAAAGGAGCAUGAAGCCCAGAGAAAUGGCUCAUCUUCUCCAUCCUGUGUCUUUGUUGCCUUUUGAUGCUGAUGAAAUUCCAACAGCCUUUGGAGGGAGUGUUACACAAUGUGCAAA
rnacentral:lncRNA from 1 species